CAGAAGAUAAAUAAACUUGAACAAAUUCACCAGUGAUCCUUGAAGGGGUUGUGCAGUCAGGGUUGUGCUCUUCGCUCCGCUACGAGAGAAUGGCAACACCUACACCUCAAGCUGAACCUGAAAUGCAGCACCAGGCCGGAAUUUAUGAUGUAAUAUAAAUUAUGUUGCUUCCAUCCUAAACGGCUGCCAGCUAACAUGAUCAGCAUUGCAGCUCACAGCUUGUGCAAAAAAUAAUCAAAAUACAGCAACCUAGGUUCAAGUAUAUAAACCUGCAGACUAACCUAAUCAUUUGCGUUUUCCGGAUUGACAUAGAGAGGCAUGUAUUACCUCCACUUGUGGCAAUGAAGCAAUGGCUCUAAUGGUAACCACAAGUAAAAGGAAGAAAUUUUUACAUAACUCUCAGUUCAAAUUCUCGUACCACAAGUGUAUUUUGUUCCCAUUUUCUGAAUCUACAAUUUUUGGUACAUAUGUGAGUGCACAGUACAGUCCUUGGCUUGAAAUUAUUAGGUCAGUUUGGUAAGAUACACCAAAAAAGAGUUUCCACUGAAUUGUGUAAUCAAAAGAGGGGAAUGAGGGGCAACAUAAAAUGGAUGGCGGAAAGAAGAUUAUUCGGUACAUGUGAACAAAGAGUCGAGGUCCAGCCACACAACUUGUAAAUUCCUAUAUGAACAAUUACAAUCAUAAGAAAAUAAAAAUAGUACCUCCUUUUGCUGAAGUCCUUUUUUCAGAUCUUGCAGCUCCAUAUCCAGUUUUUCAUGUAUGGAUGAGUGUUCUCUUUCCUUUUCUCCUUUGUUAACUUCAUCUGAAAAAGAAGAGUGCUUAUUGGAGAAAGUGUCACGAACACAUGAUAUUGUUUCAGUAACUUACUUGCAUUUUGUUCCCGUACUUAAGCAUCCAUUAUAGUAAACAUCUAAUCAUUUUUCUAAUGCAAAAUAAUGCAGGUAAUAAGAACAUAAAGCUUCUAUAGGACAUAGAGAUGUCACAUGACAGAGGGCAUCUGUAUGAUAAAGGGAAAAGAGGUAUGUGCAUACCACUCACAUGUCUCGACAUAAGGUCUUCAAUAAGCUUUCAGAGCUUAGCCUACCUUCAUUUUUAUCAAUUGUUGAUUAUGAGAGGAGACCAAGAUCACAACCCACCAAUACACCCCGGCCACCAUCUAGUUUCUUCAUACGCGAACAAACGGACACCACUAACUACAGUGUUUCGUCUUCUCAUGAUGAUGAGAAUGUGUGCACACAUGUGGCUAUAUUGGUUCCCAUAGCCGACAAUCUAACAGCCUUUCAGCCAGUACAACAUGUGCAAACGUCAAUCGGUAUCGACCUUACACAUGAAAAUAUUUCAGCUUGCAUUUAUACAUUUGUUAACCUAAGUGGUCCACAAAAUGGUUCUUCAGGAAGUCACUCUCGUGAAGCCACUUACUAUGAUCACCGUGUAUCACUUCAAGGAACACAGAGCAGCAUUCAGCAUAAUAUUGGUUCAGAUAUAGCGGUUCGACUCAACACCUCACACACUGGUCCUGAACACAUUGCUUCAAACGCAAUCAUUACAUCAGACAAAAAACAGAAAAGGCGAGAACAAUACAUAGCACGGCGGGAUAGAUUAACACCUGAAGAGAAGGAGAAAAUCAAUGCACACCGCAGAGCAGCUAGGAAGAAGAAAACAGAUGAGGAGAGGAAUGCAUGUCAAAGAGAAGCCAGGCAAUGGAUGACACCAGAGGAGAAGCAAAAAAGUAACACCCUUAGAAGGGCGGACUACCAAAAUAUGAUGGUUGAGGACAAGCAAGAGAGGAAUAGCUGCAGAAGGGCGUCCUACCAAAAUAUGCCGGUCGAGGGGAAGCAAGAGACAAACGCCCGCCGAAGAGCACGUGUGCAAAACAUACCACCCAAGGAGAAACAGAAGAUGCUAGCUCAACGCAACGCAAUACUCGCGGCUAGGCGCAACAUCCCUUGCGCUGAAUCCAUCGCAAUGCCGCGCCCAGAUGCUGCUACCUUAGCUACGCCCAACCUGAUGUCAACCACUCAUGCCAGAGACCCCGCCGCUUCAACUCCUUCCCCCCAGUUAGUGCGUAAGGCUGGUUACAACUUUGAAUCAGACGGUAAUCCUCCCAUCUUUACUCUACUUGUUAUGUUCAUGUGCGUUGGACCAGUAUUUACCAGCUCCUCAACCAUGCAGGUGAGUACCUUAGUCGUACCCUGGACAAUAAUGAGGCCCUCGACGAACUCAUAAAUGCCUCGCAACAAACCAAUGAUCAGUGAAUACACGACAACCAGAAUCAAGCCCAUGAGCAGAAAUAGGAGACCAGAGCACGGCGUAGGGCUCGCGAGCGAGCUUACAAACGAGGUAUGGUGGUAAAGAACAUUCAAGGGAGUGCUGCAAAAUGAAGAGCGCACACGAAAAGGCGUAGCAGAAGGUGAGAGGUCAGCGUUGCUAGAGCGUUGUAAUGCAAGCUUUGCAGCUAAUCAGAGGUCUCCACACCCAAGUACCUUACAUGUGAACAGAGCAGCAACAAGCUCAGAAACACCGCCCACAGGAGCUGCUUCACCGGCUUAGUCCCCUCCAUCGAGCACGUCAUCUUACACCAUUGGGACCGAUGGUAACCCUCUUGUCUUUUACUCCCCUCCCAGUGACCACUCACACUAAACCAUUACUUACCAGCUCAACAAUGUUGCAGUUGAAAUGGACGCCUUCCUUAGCGGCAUCAUGGACGAUAAUGGACUUUCCGAUGACCUCAUGGAUGAUGAGUACUACCUAUUUGCCGAUCAAGGUACUCCCAGGCGCCUUUCGCUACUCGUCCCUCUAUACUAUUGAUUUAUGUUCUGCAUCCUAUCGUGACAUGUUAUGUCUCGACAAUGCUUGCAGGAUCCGACGCUGAUAACACUAACAUCGAUGAGCCUGUAGACUCCAACACGGGAUCUAUCGAGCUUGAUCCUUUCGACUAUGUGUACUCGAACAUCCCAGACAGCACGCACAUCCUGAAGCACGCGGUGAACUACAACCAUUGCAAGGCCAAGAAGUUCCAGUACGAGAUUGACGGCUUCUGCUGUCGAAACGGGGAGAUUAAGCUGGCUGAACCGGAGCCUAUCCCAGAGCUGAUGAGGUUAUGGUCUAGCGCGGAUGGAGACUCUCGGCAUUUCCUGGACAGCAUUCGGUUCUUCACGGCCACUUCUCCUUCACUACCCUUGGUGUCAACCUAGACAACAACUACACAAACAUGAAGUCGGGAGUGUACACGUUUCGGGCACAUGGCACUAUGUACCACAAGGUGCACUCGUUCGGUCCAACAUCUCGUCCUGAUCAUCUGCAGUUGUACUUCUAUGACGACGACCCAAACUUAAGCCAUCGCAAGGAGGCCACCAAGCAAUUGGACCAGCGUGUUGUCAGCAAGUUAGCGGACAUCCUCAGGGAAAACCCCUACUCCCAGCAGUUUAGGAGUUUGGGUGCCCACAAGGAAAACCUCGAGGAGUACCGGAUAGACCUCAACAUUGACCAGAAGCUAGACCAACGGAGAUAUAACAGACCGGUGUCAUCUGAGGUGGCUGCGAUUUGGGUCGAGGGAAGUGAUCUAGCAAACAGGUUCAACCGCAGCAUUACACUCUAUGGGGACAACAACGAGAAGCAUAGUAUACAUGCUACAGAAGGUUGCUAUGACCCGCUGUCGUAUCCCCUCUUUUUCCCAAGGGGGGAGCUUGGUUGGCAUCGAAAUAUCCCUAAGCACAAUGUCCCUUGGGAACUUGCACAACAACCAAGAGGAAACCGCGAUAACGAUUCAGGUUCGCCUAUUUGGUAUGCUUAUAUGCAAAAAAUAACAUUGUCUAUCCUUUCCAUAUGGUACCUAACCUUCUUCUUUCACAUCUUUCCAUAGAGGGAAACAGUCGGUUGUGUGUCUCUGUCUGGGACUACUACUGUUACCGGCUACAGACGCGCCCUGCAAUAUUCAACCCCAUACUUCACGGAGCACGCUUGUUCCAGCAAUGGGGCGUCGACAUGUUCAUCAAGAUUGAGGGUUGUAGGCUGAAGUGGACCAGGGACCACCAGCCACAGAUACGUGCUGAUAUAUACCAAGGCCUUGUGGAUAGCAUCGCAGUUGGGGAGAUGCGAGCGAGCGCUGUUGGCAAGAGGAUCGUGCUCCCAGGGACACAUCAGGGGUGCAACCGAGACAUGAAGCGGAGACAUAUGGAUGCCAUGGCAUUGGUGCAGACGUAUGGGAGCCUGACAUCUGUUUGACUAUGACAUGCAACCCUAGCUGGGAGGAGAUACUGAAUGAGCUGCUUCCAAGCCAGACUCCCCAAGACCGACCAGAUCUUAUCGCACGCGUGUUCAGGGCCAAGCUGGAAACCAUGAAAGAGAUGUUGUUCAAGAAGCACAUCCUAGGUGUUGUGGUAGCGCAUGUGUAUGUCGUCGAGUUUCAGAAGAGGGGCCUCCCCCAUGCGCACUUCCUGUUGAUCAUGAAUUUAAAUUAUAAACUUGUGGUGCCAGAGUAGUAUGACCGCCUCAUAUCUGCAGAGCUCCCGGACAAGCAUAAGUAUCCAGAGCUCUAUGCCAUGGUCGUGAAUCAUAUGAUGCACGGACCAUGCGGUAAUCUAAAUCCCAAAAAUGUGUGCAUGCAAGACUCGAAGUGCAAGUGCAAGUACCCACGGCCGUUCAACCAGAACACCUUCCAAGGGAAGGAUUCAUACCCGGUUUAUCGACGACGGGACGAUGGUCGUUGUGCUAAGGUCCGCCGUCAUCUGCUAGAUAACAGGUGGGUGGUGCCUUACAACCCUUAUCUGUUGCGGAUGUUCAACUGUCACAUUAAUGUUGAGGUAUGCUCCAGCAUCAAGGCCGUCAAGUACCUUUACAAAUACGUAUACAAGGGCCAUGAUCGAGCUUCAAUCAGCAUCGACCAGCCUGACAGCAACGGGGUUGUAGAUGAGAUUAAAAGGUACAUUGAUGCGAGAUGGGUUACUCCACCGGAGGCGAUGUGGAGGAUAUUCGGCUUCAACCUUUCUGAGAGUUCCCCAUCGGUCCUACAGUUGCCGCUUCAUCUCCCUAAUAUGCAUAGUGUCACGUUCAAAGCACAAGAGGACCUGACCGAUGUCGUCGCCUGUGAUAAUGCAUCUAAGUCAAUGCUGACGGAGUAUUUCCUCGCUAAUCAGAAGCACGAGUGGGCUUGGGAUAUCCUUUACAAGGACUUCCCGGGAAGUUUCACAUGGCAGAGACAGAAGUACUGGAGGCCGAGAGAAAAGCGGCACCAAGUUGGUCGAAUCAUGUCAGCCCAUCUGGCCGAGGGGGAGCGGUACUUUCUGCGAGUGCUGUUGGGGAACGUUGCAUAAAAUAAAAAAAUUCCUACGUUCACCAAGAUCAAUCUAUGAGUUCAUCUAACAACGAGAGAGAGAGAUGCAUCUACAUACCCUUGUAGAUCGCGUGCGGAAGCAUUCAAGAGAAUGGGGUUGAGGGAGUUGUAUUCGUCGUGAUCCAAGUCACCGGAGAUCCUAGCGCCGAACGGACGACACCUCCGCGUUCAACACACGUACGGUCAGCGUGAUGUCUCCUCCUUUUUGAUCCAGCAAGGGGGAAAGGAGAGGUUUAUGAAGAUCCAGCAGCACGACGGCGUGGUGGUGGAUGCAGCAGGGUUCCGACAGAGCUUCGCCGAGCUUCUGCGAGAGGAGGAAGUGUAGUUGGAGCUGAUACUGAGUAUAUAUGUGCAUAUGCCUGGCGAAGUCAUGUGAUUUUAUAAAAAGGGAAAUAUAAGGAACCUAGCUUGAGGAAUUUCUAUUUGACCAACUCCUCUAAAACAAACUGAUCCACCUAGAACUAUGGUGCAGAUGUUUUAAUAACAAAUAGAUCAGCUUGGAGUUCCAAGUACCCAACAAUCAGUAUACAUAAAUAACAUUAAAAUAACAAAAAAUACAUGUAGUGACCUGUAACUUCCCAUUUUGAUGUCAACUUCACCAAUAAAAGUGGCAUCAUCAUCUAAUAGUAGUAUGUGCUGGUACUCAUCUAUUUUGAUCAUUAGUAAUUCUUUGGGCACUAAAAAAACUUCUUUACCAAAAAAUUAUGGCCAGUAUGAUAUUGAUGUCAAAUCCUCUAGCAGUAAGUCAGUAACUAUGGCAAUUCUUCUUGUUCGUAGCCUUCUAUAAUACUUAAAGUUCCAUUCUAGAAGAAGAACCCAAAAAGGAAAUUGAAACCAAUUAUAGAUACAGUGGUGUGCUAUGGAUCCAAUGGCUAAUGUUGCAAAAAUGAAGAACAAUGCCUUGGAGUAUUUAUUGGACAUAGAAGACAGUUUGCAUACCAUUACCAUCACAUGUCUGCAAUCGCACAACUAAGGAGAGCAGGAGACCACUCCAUAUGGGUGGUUAGUUAUCUAAAAAAAAGAUUGCCUAACACAUCAUACCUAUGCCCUUGGCGAAGCAUAUCAGAAGGCUAAGGCAGCGAAGCCACCUCCUCACACUCUGUUCAAUCUGAAGGUGUGAGAGUGUUAUGACCGUCAUAUUAGGGGCUUAGCCCAGUGGGUUGUGGCCCAAGUUAUCUUAUCGUUAUUAGGGGCUUAGCUCGAUUAUCUUAUCGUUUGCUUAGGAGUCAAGUAAACCUCUCUAUAUACGGAGAGAAGAUGUAUCAAUCUAAUCAAGCAAGAAGCAAUCAUUAUUUGCUCGGCUUUCCUUAGGGAGCCGGGAGACCUAAAACCCUAGCCGCCUCCUGCCUUCGCCGCCGCUGCUCCCGUCGCAAGGACGGCGCCACGCCGCCGGCCGCCGCGCACCAGCCCUCGUCCUUCCCCCUCCUUCCCCUACAACCUACGCCCUAGAUCCGGUAGGGCCCUAGCUCCUAUCACCUUGGUAUCAGCUAGCUUGGUUUCGACCAUGUCAUCACCACCACCAAACCCGCCACUGCCCACCACCACCAACACCGCCGCCGCCACCACCUCCUCCACCGCCGUUGCGUUCUCGCCGAGCGCCACGGCCUUGCUGGCCCUUCCGUCGGCGCCGAUCGCCCCCACCCCCGGCACGUUGCCUGGCCAGCCGCCGCCCCCGUCAAGGAUUCGCCGCCAUCACCGUCCACCAUGCCGACCUAGUACGCUCUGGAGGCCAUGGCUGGUGUCCUUUGCCGGCCGCCCCAGCGCUGUCCUGGCUGCAGUGGCCGACGCUGGCUUUCACGGCGCCACCCGCGCCUUCUGCGCCCGCCCCAGCGCCGCAGUGGCCGUACUGGCCCGCGUCGGCCCCAGCCGCGUCAACCGUGCCGGACGCGCCGGUACAGCUUCCACCACCGCCGCCCAGCUCCGGACUGGGCCAAUCCACACCGGAGGCCUCCUGAUCCAGCAGGUCUAGUUUCCGCUGUCACCGUCCCCGAUUCCGCCACCGCCAGUUUACACGGAGGCUGGGCACCCAUCGGUACCCACACUGCAGUCUGGGGCCUCGUCCGGCUCCGCGGGGGCUACGACGGCCUCCCCACCGUUGACCGGGCGCCGUCAUCAUCACUGCUCCGCACCGCCGAACCGGUCGUCCAUGGCGCGCUGACCAGACGCCGCCACGGUUCGCCAAGAUCUACUUCGCCACUUAUGAUGGCACGGAGGACCCGCUUAACUAGCUCAACCAAUGCGACCAGUUUUUCCGUGGGCAGCGCACGCUCGCGUCGGAGCGCACUUGACUGGCAUCCUACCACCUCCGCGGUGCAGCCCAGACAUGGUACUAUGCCCUCGAGCAGGACGAGGGCGGCAUGCCCCCAUGGGAGCGCUUCCAUGAGUUGUGCCUCCUUCGUUUUGGGCCGCCGAUCCGCGGGAGCCGCCUGGCCGAGUUGGGCCACCUUCCCUUCACCUCUACGGUGCAAGACUACACCGACCGCUUUCAAGCCCUAGCGUGCCACACGUCCGGCGUGACGGCUCACCAGCGGGCCGAACUCUUCGUCGGCGGUCUGCCAGAUCAUCUCCGCGUUGACGUCGAGCUGCAAGGACCCUAGGACCUCCAGACGGCCAUGUACUACGCCCGCGCGGUGGCCAUGCAGCAGGCAUCACCGUCCCAGGCCACUGGGCCGCUACCCGAACCAGAUGUUCAUGCGCAGGGUCGGCCUGCUAAGUCUUCAGCGGCACCCCUCGCCGCGACCGCGGCGCGCCCGUUCUGCCGGCUCACCUCGGCCGGGCUACUCGAGCGUCGCUGCCAAGGGUUGUGCUUCAACUGUAACGAGCCCUACACGCCCGGCCACGUCUGCCCGCGGCUCUUCUACCUGGAGGCUGUAGACUACAUUGAGGAGGACGCUGUCGCCGCCAACCUGACUGCCCCAGCUGUCGCGAAGGUGUUUGACGCUGGUUGAUCACCUCGAGGAGUUCAGCAAGCGCUUCCCCACCUUACAGCUCGAGGACGAGCUGUUUGUGCAGGCGGGGAGAAGUGUUAUGAGGCUUAGCCGAGUGGGUUGUGGCCCAAGUUAUCUUAUCGUUAUUAGGGGCUUAGCCCGAUUAUAUUAUCGUUUGCUUAGGAGUCAAGUAAACCUCUCUAUAUAGGGAGAGGAGAUGUAUCAAUCUAAUCAAGCAAGAAGCAAUCAUUAUUUGCUCGGCUUCCCUUAGGGAGCCAGGAGACCUAAAACCCUAGCCGCCUCCUGCCUUCGCCGCCGCUGCUCUCGUCACAAGGAUGGCGCCACGCCGCCGGCCGCCAGGCACCAGCCCUCGUCCUUCCCCCUCCUCCCCCUACAACCUACGCCCUAGAUCCGGUAGGGCCCUAGCUUCUAUCAGAGAGUGUAACCAGUGUGUUGCUUCUUAGGAUGUGGUCCGAGUAGCGUGAGUCUCAUCUACCUGCUCACUUAAUUUGUAAUGGGCUGCAGGAGUAGUUUCUAGACAGUUCGACAUAGGCGCGUGGAUUUGAUGACAGAAAAUUUGAAUUUGGGAGGCGGCAAGGAUGGGCACGUUGAGGUUUGGGAAGUAGAGGCGGUAGCCGAGCAUAGCACCAGAACAGGCCAUAGAGCUCGUCAGCCAAGAAGGGGAAAUAGCAGUAAGGAGCAGCGUGUAGUCGGCGGUGUACUUGCAAAGGUCAGCAUCCGAGAAGAAGGGGGAGGUGGCGAGGAGGAUGGGGAGGUGCUGCUUGUGGUGGGUGAGCGGUAUUCAGCAGCAGGAAAGCGAGGAGGCCGGGGAAGCGUUGGGGCGUCGGAGGAGGCUGUGUAGGACGCGUAGGGGGUGGCCAGGAGGAAUAGUGUGUGGUGGUGAUGCUGGGAGGUGGCACUUCUCUGGCAGAGGAGGUAGGAGAGGUACUGGCGGAGGGAUGGCGUCGGCGGCCUACCUGCCGAGGUCGACAAUGGAGGAGACGGGGAAGGUGGUGGAUGGUCGUGGUUGGCGGUGGAGCUGAGGAAGGUAUGGGAGGCUCCGGGAGCAGACGGCACCCGCGGCGGCCACUGCUCCAUAUCGGUUCCGACGGUGCCUGUUGGCAGGCUGCUGGUUCUCACGGCUGCUUUUCCCCAUUCUUAGGUCGUUGGAUAAGGUGGGGCAAGAGAUAGGCUAAAAGGGUGACAAGGGCGUUGUCUGCAAAUCUGUACAGAGUGGUGGGUGUCUUUUCGUAAAAAUGCCACUGAUUGCUUCAUGUGCGUUAGAUAUAGAUCGAACGAUCCUAAAUGCAAGAUGGCAGGCACACCAUCAUCACCAACUGUGGUUUUUAUAGGAGUAGAGAUUUCUGCAGGUCUAAGUGUGAUGUUUUUAUUUGUGUAGGUGCUUACCCUAUCAUGGGUGAAGAAGCCAUGUCAGUCUUAUGAUUCUUGAUCCUUGAGCUGGGCCUGAGGUAAAUAUCUUCCAUUUUAAAAUAGUUUACAUUUAGCACGUUUUAACUCAAAUUCGAAGGUCGUAGAGAAAAUUGUCAGGUUGUGGUAAACAACUUCAUGAAGAAGCCAAUUGUUAUUUCUCUUAUCUCAUUUUGUUUGCAUUGCAAACAACACACUAUUUUGGCCAGCCUUUAGCUAGCAAUUUAACCAUUGACCGAUCUCCCAAGGGUUUAUCUAACUGAACCUUGUGUUUUUUUAUUUGUGUAGGCACCUGCCCACUGCUGGCCUUCAUGGAUGAGUAAACCGAAUUAACCAUGCAUGCUCAUUGCAAAUUCAUUUUCGGCAUAAUGUUUUCGUUGUGUAUUCUUGGAAAAAAACUUCAAAUUAUGGGUGCCUUUGGACCAUAGAAGCAGCUUAAGUUUAGAGCAUAACCUGCAUGUUAGAGCAGAACUUAUUAUUGGCUACUACUUAUUUCGAGUCUCGUGAAACUCACAUCAUGCCUGUGUGCAAGUGUAGCAGCCAUAGAUGAUGAAUUUAACUCGGCAAUUAUGCUGGAGUGUAAAGUUUGGACCGUAGAAGCAACAUAUGUAGCUUAGAGCAGAAUGUUAUUGGCUACUAAUCUCUACUAUUAAAGCGCAACCUGCAGUCGUCGUGAUGGUUCGACAAAUCCCACCACCCCUCGACCGCAUCCCGUCACUCAUUAACUCGGCCCAUAAACGAGAGCCGUUGCCAACUCAGCCCACGAUCACGCACCAGCCGGAGAAAAACAGUUGCGACUCAAUCCACGAACCACGUCCACUCCAUGCAUUGACCAAAAAAGACGUCCAUGCCCAAACCAAAGAAAAAAAGUCCGAGCCAAACCAAAACAGAAAAACAAGUGUGAGGGCUCCAUCGAGCCCUGAACGCACGUCGCCAGAAACGCCAGUUCCUCCUCUCGAUGGACGUAUAGUCACCGUCCGGCCACAUCCGCCGGAACCAGUCCGGCCACAUCGCUCUCACGGUAGAUUGUCACGACCGCGCGGUGGAGGAGUUCCGCCGCCGACGAACUACAGCUCGAAUUCGAGAGAGAGAGGAAGAAGAAGGGGAUCCGGUGUAGGAGACGAAGGCAGGAGGAUAAGAUAGAAUGAGUGGCAUAGUUUGAAUUACAGAAAUCUCUUCGUACCGUUCUCUCCCUCGCCCGCCUGCUUAUAACCCGUAGGAUACAUGGGCCUACUUGCUACGACCCUCUGGCCCAUUAUCGCCGAGACCCUUAGGCCCAUUACAUGUUUAAACCUCCCGCUUCAACAUUACGCCUUCUCCUUGUCUGCUUCCCGCUUCCCUCGUCUUGCUCGCGUCUUUGACAUCUGUAAGGUACUUACAAUACCUCCCCCUGAAGAACCAGCAUGUCCCCAGGCUGGUGCAUCUGGGUAGCGUUGCUUGAGUACUUGGUAAUCUUCCCAGGUUGCUGACGCCGCAGGAAUGGACGACCACUUUACAAGUAUCUGUAGAUAAGAUGCAUUGCCCUUUUUGACCAGUCGACGAUCCAGAAUCUCCUCAGGUUUCACACCAGGUACUGACAGAUCGAGCGGAACCGGAAGGGUAGUAAACACCGGGGUAUGAUCUGGCACAUGGCCCUUGAGUUGAGACACAUGAAACACAGGGUGGACCAUACUGCCCCGAGGUAACUCUAGUUUGUAGGCUGCAUUUCCCACUUUUUCCAAGACCUUGAAAGGGCCAAAAUAUUUGAGAGCAAGCUUGGGACAAGGACGGUUGACCACAGAGGACUGAGCAUAUGGCUGGAGGCGCAGGUAAACCAUUUCUCCUUCGGCAAACUGGCGAUCAGAUCGUUUCUUGUCCACGAAAUGCUUGUACUUGCAUUGCGCUCGAGCGAGAUGAUCCUUGAGCAGAGCUGUAUGCUCUGACUGGGAGGCCAACCAGGUCUGAACGUCAGAGUUCAGAGAAGUGGACUGACCUGCUAACUGUCCCACAUUUGGAUCUUGCCCAUACAAUGCUUUGUAUGGGGUGCAGCCCAGUGAGGAGUGGUACGUAGAGUUAUACCAAAACUCUGCCUGAGGUAACCAUGCUGCCCACUUUGUUGGAGAAUCGUGUACUGCACAACGCAAGUACAUCUCUAGGCAUUGAUUCACACGUUCAGUCUGGCCAUCAGUUUGUGGGUGAUACACCAUGCUCAUCUGCAGUUCUGUGCCCCACACUCUGAACAAUUCUCGCCAGAAAGCACUCGUGAAGAUUUUGUCCCUGUCUGACACAAUUGUCAAUGGUAAUCCGUGCAGUUUCACUAUGUUAUUCAGAAAUACCUUUGCAACCGAUGCCGCUGUAAACGGAUGUUUCAGAGCCAAAAAAUGACUUACUUUAGUCAAGCGGUCCACUACCACCAAAAUAGCACUGAAUCCUUCAGACUUAGGCAGUCCCUCAACAAAAUCCAUGCUAAUUGACUGCCAGGGUCGAUCUGGCACGGGUAAAGGUUGCAACAAGCCAGGUGUUUUGCACAGUUCAUGUUUUGCCUGUUGACAUGUGUUGCACUGCUUUACAAAAUUUUCCACAUCUGUUUUCAUACCAGUCCAACUAAACAACUGCUUAACCCUGUGGUAAGUAGGCAAUAUGCCAGAGUGGCCCCCUACAGGUGUUGAAUGAAAAGCUUGAAUGAGUUUUGUCUGUAAGCCAGUGUUAGCACCAAUCCAAAUUUUAUCCCCAUGUUUAAUCAGACCAUCCUGCAACUGAAACCCAGGACAGGCCUUGCUGUCUACUGCCAAUUUUUGCAACAACCCUUGAGCAGCAGAGUCCACCGAGUAUGAGUUUAAAACCUCUUGUAUCCAAACAUCUUUGCUGGUGGAUAUAGCCUGGAUAGGAAACAAGUGAGCCACCCUGGACAGUGCAUCUGCUACAGUAUUCUCCACUCCUUUCUUGUACCGUAUAGAUAAUUGUAGCCCAACUAGUUUUGUCAUUGCUUUCCUCUGCAAAUCUGAAGUUAGAAGUUGGUCUCCUAAGUGACACAAGCUUUGAUGAUCAGUUUUAAUAACAAAAGGGGCUCUGGCCAAGUAAGAUCUCCAUCUGUCUACUGCCAUCAUGAUUGCUAGGAACUCCUUCUCAUAGAUGCACAACUUUUGGCUAGUAACUCCAAGUGCCUUGCUAUAAUAAGCAAUUGGAUGCCCUUCUUGAGAGAGUACAUCUCCUACUCCAGUGUUACAGGCAUCUGUUUCCACAGUGAAAGUUUUCUCAAAGUUAGGUAGAGCUAGCACAGGAGUAGUGGCCAUAGCUUGCUUCAAGUGUUGAAAAGCUUCCUGAGCUGUGCCAGACCAUUGGAAAGCUUGUUUUUUAAGUAGGACAGUCAAGGGUUUAGCCAGCAAACCAUAAUUUCUCACAAAUUUUCUGUAAUACCCCGCGAGUCCCAGAAAUCCUCUUAAUUCAGUAACAUUGGUAGGCACUGGCCAGUUGACCAUAGCUUCUGUCUUUGAAGGAUCAGUAGCCACUCCCUUGUUAGAAAUUAUGUGGCCCAAAUAUUCCAUAGUUUGUUGAGCAAACACACACUUACUCUGCUUCACAUGUAACUUGUUCUCUGCUAGGAUUUCAAAUACAGAUUUCAGAUGCUGUAUAUGAUCUUCCAAGGAAAAACUAAACACCAAGAUAUCAUCCAUGAAUACCAAGACAUAUUUUCUGUUUGGUCUAGCCAUAAACACAUUCAUAUUGCAUUGGAACGUCCCUGGUGCAGUAGCCAAUCCAAAAGGAACCACUCUGAAUUGAAACUGACCAUGGUGUGUUUUAAAUGCUGUUUUAUGCUCAUCCUCCUCUCUCAUUCUAAUUUGAUGAUAUCCAGCUUUUAAAUCCAGUUUUGAAAACCAUUUGGCCCCUCCCAACUCAUCCAACAGUUCAUCAAUUACUGGCAAUGGAAACUUGCUUUGUAUGGUGAUAUCAUUCAAUCUUCUGUAAUCUACACAGAAUCUCCAAGUGCCAUCCUUCUUUUUGACCAACAAAACAAGAGAAGCAAAGGGACUAAUGCUAGGUGUAAUCAAACCAGCUUUCAACAUUUCAGCAACUUGUCUUUCUAUCUCAUCUUUUUGUUGUGGAGAGUACUUGUAAGGCCUGCAAUUGACUGGAACAGCUCCAGGAACCAGGUGAAUUACAUGAUCCAAUGGCCUGUGAGGAGGCAAUGUUUUAGGAUCUGUGAAAACUAUAGUGUGCUUGUCAAUCAACUCUUGCACAUCAGGAGGGACUGGUGUUUCAGGUGCCAUAACAAUCCUGUUUAAUACAGCAGUGGCCCAAACUUCAUUUCCCUUUUCCCACUUCAUUAACUGUUCCACUGAUACUUCCUCAAUUACAGUGGGGGAGACAGGCAACACUCCUUGCAGUUUAACCUCCUGCCCUGCAUACUGGAACUGAAUCCACUUUUCUGCCCAAUGACACUGCAUAAUUCCCCACUGUUCAAGCCAGUCCAUGCCCAAAAUUAUAUCAUGCCCUCCUAAAGGAAGUACAUGCAUGGCAUUUGUAACAUUGUGCCCUUGUAUCCACCAAGUUAACUGGGAAACCACCUCAGUGCAUUGGACAACUUCUCCAUUUGCCACUUUUACUUUCAUUGGCUGUGACAAUUGAUCAGCAGUAACAGAGAUCCUGCUCAAAAGUGCCUGGUCCACAAAAGUAUGUGUGCUCCCUGAGUCCACUAAAAUGAGGACCACUUGGUUUCCAACUAGAGCCCUCAGUUGUAUGGUCCUGGGAUGAACUACUCCAGACAGCGCAGUAACUGAAAUGGUGGCACAAUCUGCUGUAGACCGGUCAACCAGAGUGUCUAGCAGAGCAUCUGAUAAUAUUUCAUUCUAUACUAUGGCUUCAACCGCCUUUAACUGAGCUCCAGCAGCAGGUGCCUGACUGCAGGCAUGUCCAGGUGCAAACUUCUCUCCACAUUUGUAACAAAGGCCAUUAGCACGUCUGUAUUCCUUCAACUGUUUUGCCUUCCAUAAUUCCCCCAGAGCCAAUGCAGGUCGACUGUCCAUCUUGGUGAAAGAAGUUUUUGUAUAGUUGGACUUGAUAGAUUUCUGUUGCAAGAGUCCUUCCUGAACAGCAACAAACACUGCUGCCGAUUGCACACAGGAUGGUAUCUGUAGUUCCACAGUUGCUCGGAGUUCAGGCUUAAGACCCAUAAUGAAACAUGUUACUAAGAACAUGUCACUGAGGGCUGGUUCAUACAACCUGAUGGUGUACACCAGGUGCAGAAAGUGUUGUUUGUAUUCCUCCACUGACUCAAGUUGCUUUAAGGACAUGAGCUCCUUCAUCUUCUGUAUGUAUACAUUAACGUCAAAUUCUUGCACUAUCGCUGCACAGAACUGAGGCCAGGUGUGAUAGAUACUCGUUUGUUUGAACGCCUAGUACCAAUGAGCUGCAUUAUCUGUCAGGUACACAGAUGCUGAAGUAACCUUGAAACUGUCAGGUAUAUUGUACAACUUGAAAAAUGCCUCGCACUUAUCUAGCCAGAUCCGAACAUCACUGCCAUCAAAUCGAGGAAAAUCCAUCUUGGGCAUCCACUGUCGUUUGCCUGAAUUUUCCUCCUGACCCGACUACACCACUUGCUGCUGAACAGGUAAACAGUUCGGUACCUGAACUGGACGCGGUGGUGCGGAGGUGGAAAUUGAUGGCCCUGCUCCUAGUAUGCCAUCCGAAACUUCUGAUGCAGUCGGCGACGAGCUCUCUGGUCCCUCCGGCGGCUUCCCCUUCGUCGCCGCAUGGAACUGGCUCUGCUGAACCUGACCCAGCGUGUCGCACGACAGAUCCACUUUCACCUGCACCUGAUCAAGGCGCGCGGACUGCUCUGACAGCUUGGUGUCGAGGGCCUCCAGCUGUGCGGAAAUCCCGUUGACCACCUCGAGCUUGCGCUGCGCCGCCUGUAUCUCGGCGAGUUCCCGCAGCAUCCGCUCCUAAAACGCCUCCAUCUCCUCCGUGAGGAAGCGUGUCUGCGGAUUCGGCUUAAACAUCGUCGUGGUCGCUGAUUCCCUCAAAUCAACCCACCUCAGGUCCGGAUUUAUGCAGAUCAAGCUCGAGGGCGAUCCACUACCUUCGCCUCGGAUUUGCCGGGUAUGAUUCGAGAGAAAUUUUUUUGCAGGCGCACGGCGGAGCGAGAGGAGAGGCUCUGAUACCAGAUUGUCACGACCGCACGGUGGAGGAGUUCCGCCAGCGAUGAACUACAGCUCGAAUUCAAUAGUGAGAGGAAGAAGAAGGGGAUCCGGGGUAGGAGACGAAGGCAGGAGGAUAAGAUAGAAUGAGUGGCGUAGUUGGAAUUACAAAAAUCUCUUCGUACCGUUCUCUCCCUCGCCCGCCUGCUUAUAACCCGCAGGAUACAUGGGCCUACUUGCUACGACCCUCUGGCCCAUUAUCGCCGAGACCCUUAGGCCCAUUACACAUUUAAACCUCCCGCUUCAACAUUACGCCUUCUCCUUGUCUGCUUCCCGCUUCCCUCGUCUUGCUCGCGUCUUUGACAUCUGUAAGGUACUUACACAGAUGUGCGAGCUGCAGCCUGUGUUGUCGCCGGAACCAGCAACCUCUGCUCCUGUCUCAUGCUGCAGCCUCUACUGCCGCCGGAACUAGCACCUCUGCUCCCGUCUCAUGGUGUUGCUCGACAGGGCCGCCAGAACCAGCCACCUCCGCGCGCCGGCUGUUGCUGCACCCAUCUCCAGACGCCGUAGGUACAUCCUCCUGCCACCAUCUUCACAGUUCCCUAGGUUUACCAUCCUCAGUUGGUUCCUACAAAAAUAAAAUGCAUUCAUGCAUUCAUGAUGUCAAAGCAAAUUACCUACAUUACAAAGAUACUUAAACGAUGCAGGAUUUUAAGCUAUGUACCAGCUACCUGAAAAUCAUAAAUUUCCAUGAAGAAUACACCCAUUAGGUUCUAGGAAUUAAUAUGUUUCAUAAUCAAGGACGAAUAGGCAAGUUCUGAUGUCUUUCCAGCAAGUACACCCAAUGCAAACAACUUAUUCCCCCAAUCUGUAUUUGGUGCCCAAUACAAACUGAGACAUGCAGAACAAUCUUUGACAUCGGGAUAGUGUAUCAAUACAUCAUAUAAUUUGCUGACAUAGAGUAUUGAACAAAACAUCAUGUAAUUCGCAAUGUGUACACCACACUUGGUCAUGAGUGUGUUGCGAUAGGUAUCAUCUUAUAUACCUAAAAAUUAAACAAAUUUGAGGCGACUCAUACUCAAAUUUCAGGGUAAUAUAUUUAUCGUCGUGGUUCAUUCUAAAACAUGGGUAUCAUUACUUAUUUUCAUGACCACAUAACUAAUAUUUCCACUUCUGAAGAUAGAUAAUUGUGCAACUCCAUUAUAAAUGCUCACACUCACGAUACCCUCAAGCCUAGAAUCCUACUGUGAUAAAAAAUGAACAUGACCCAGAAGAUAAAUAAACUUGAACAAAUUCACCAGUGAUCCUUGAAGGGGUUGUGCAGUCAGGGUUGUGCUCUUCGCUCCGCUACGAGAGAAUGGCAACACCUACACCUCAAGCUGAAC
rnacentral:lncRNA from 1 species